AAUAAUACAAAAAAUAUGUUUUAAAAAAUGAGAAAUUAAAGUCAAAUUGUGUUAGGCAUAAUCUAAAAGUUGUAUCACAACUAUUAAUUUAUUACCAUACUUCAAGUCAUUCCCUACAUUAUACUCAUUUAGGCUAAGUAACUUGACUCAACUUAGGAGCUUGAUAGAGAAGGCAAUCCAACUCAACUCAAAAGCUUGAGACAAACAAAGGAAGCAAGAUUUUGGAAGAAUAGAAGCUUUACUGCAUAAGAAGGCUUUACAAAG
rnacentral:lncRNA from 1 species